rnacentral:rRNA from 1 species
CCUACGGGUGGCAGCAGUGGGGAAUAUUGGACAAUGGAGGGAACCCUGAUCCAGCCAUGCCGCGUGUGUGAAGAAGGCCCUCGGGUUGUAAAGCACUUUCAGUGAGGAAGAACGCCUGGUGGUUAAUACCCAUCAGGAAAGACAUCACUCACAGAAGAAGCACCGGCUAACUCCGUGCCAGCAGCCGCGGUAAUACGGAGGGUGCGAGCGUUAAUCGGAAUUACUGGGCGUAAAGCGCGCGUAGGUGGCUUGAUAAGCCGGUUGUGAAAGCCCCGGGCUCAACCUGGGAACGGCAUCCGGAACUGUCAAGCUAGAGUGCAGGAGAGGAAGGUAGAAUUCCCGGUGUAGCGGUGAAAUGCGUAGAGAUCGGGAGGAAUACCAGUGGCGAAGGCGGCCUUCUGGACUGACACUGACACUGAGGUGCGAAAGCGUGGGUAGCAAACAGGAUUAGAUACCCCUGUAGUC